GAUGAACGCUAGCGGCAGGCCUAAUACAUGCAAGUCGAGCGGCAAGUUGAGAAGCAAUUCGAGACCUAGAGCGGCGUACGGGUGCGUAACGCGUAUGCAACCUACCUCAUACAGGGGGAUAGCCCGGAGAAAUCUGGAUUAAUACCCCAUAGUACAUAUAGAGGGCAUCUGAAAUAUGUUAAAGAUUCAUCGGUAUGAGAUGGGCAUGCGUCUGAUUAGCUAGUUGGCGGUGUAACGGACCACCAAGGCGACGAUCAGUAGGGGUUCUGAGAGGAAGGUCCCCCACACUGGCACUGAGGUACGGGCCAGACUCCUACGUGAGGCAGCAGUAGGGAAUAUUGGGCAAUGGUCGGAAGACUGACCCAGCCAUGCCGCGUGCAGGAAGAAGGCCCUCUGGGUUGUAAACUGCUUUUAUCUGGGGAGAAAAGGCCCGUGCGCGGGACAUUGCCGGUACCAGAUGAAUAAGCACCGGCUAACUCCGUGCCAGCCGCCGCGGUAACAC
rnacentral:rRNA from 1 species